CUUGCAUGUGGAGGUCAUAGGUCAGUGAUCUGCAUGUGUAUGUGCACUUGCAUGUGGCGGUCAUAGGUCAGUGAUCUGCAUGUGUAUGUGCACUUGCAUGUGGCGGUCAUAGGUCAGUGAUCUGCAUGUGUAUGUGCACUUGCAUGUGGCGGUCAUGGGUCAGUGAUCUGCAUGUGUAUGUGCACUUGCAUGUGGCGGUCAUGGGUCAGUGAUCUGCAUGUGUAUGUGCACUUGCAUGUGGCGGUCAUGGGUCAGUGAUCUGCAUGUGUAUGUGCACUUGCAUGUGGAGGUCAUGGGUCAGUGAUCUGCAUGUGUAUGUGCACUUGCAUGUGGCGG